AGAGUUUGAUCCUGGCUCAGGACGAACGCUGGCGGCGUGCUUAACACAUGCAAGUCGAACGAUGAAGCCUUUCGGGGUGGAUUAGUGGCGAACGGGUGAGUAACACGUGGGCAAUCUGCCCUUCACUCUGGGACAAGCCCUGGAAACGGGGUCUAAUACCGGAUAACACUCUGUCCCGCAUGGGACGGGGUUAAAAGCUCCGGCGGUGAAGGAUGAGCCCGCGGCCUAUCAGCUUGUUGGUGGGGUAAUGGCCUACCAAGGCGACGACGGGUAGCCGGCCUGAGAGGGCGACCGGCCUCACUGGGACUGAGACACGGCCCAGACUCCUACGGGAGGCAGCAGUGGGGAAUAUUGCACAAUGGGCGAAAGCCUGAUGCAGCGACGCCGCGUGAGGGAUGACGGCCUUCGGGUUGUAAACCCUUUCAGCAGGGAGAAGCGAGAGUGACGGUACUGCAGAAGAGCGCCGGCUAACUACGUGCCAGCAGCGCGGUAUACGUAGGGCGCAGCGUUGUCCGGAAUUAUUGGGCGUAAAGAGCUCGUAGGCGGCUUGUCACGUCGGAUUUGAAAGCCCGGGGCUUAACCCCGGGUCUGCAUUCGAUACGGGCUAGCUAGAGUGUGGUAGGGGAGAUCGGAAUUCCUGGUGUAGCGGUGAAAUGCGCAGAUAUCAGGAGGAACACCGGUGGCGAAGGCGGAUCUCUGGGCCAUUACUGACGCUGAGGAGCGAAAGCGUGGGGAGCGAACAGGAUUAGAUACCCUGGUAGUCCACGCCGUAAACGUUGGGAACUAGGUGUUGGCGACAUUCCACGUCGUCGGUGCCGCAGCUAACGCAUUAAGUUCCCCGCCUGGGGAGUACGGCCGCAAGGCUAAAACUCAAAGGAAUUGACGGGGGCCCGCACAAGCAGCGGAGCAUGUGGCUUAAUUCGACGCAACGCGAAGAACCUUACCAAGGCUUGACAUAUACCGGAAAGCAUCAGAGAUGGUGCCCCCCUUGUGGUCGGUAUACAGGUGGUGCAUGGCUGUCGUCAGCUCGUGUCGUGAGAUGUUGGGUUAAGUCCCGCAACGAGCGCAACCCUUGUUCUGUGUUGCCAGCAUGCCCUUCGGGGUGAUGGGGACUCACAGGAGACUGCCGGGGUCAACUCGGAGGAAGGUGGGGACGACGUCAAGUCAUCAUGCCCCUUAUGUCUUGGGCUGCACACGUGCUACAAUGGCCGGUACAAUGAGCUGCGAUGCCGCGAGGCGGAGCGAAUCUCAAAAAGCCGGUCUCAGUUCGGAUUGGGGUCUGCAACUCGACCCCAUGAAGUCGGAGUUGCUAGUAAUCGCAGAUCAGCAUUGCUGCGGUGAAUAUGUUCCCGGGCCUUCACACACUUAGAGUCACGUCACGAAAGUCGGUAACACCCGAAGCAGAGUGCCCAACCCCUCAGGGAGG
rnacentral:rRNA from 1 species